rnacentral:lncRNA from 1 species
GAAGCCUUGUUUGCUCUUCACUGGAGGACAACAGCAGAUGCAGCUCACCAAGAGGCAUUAAAAGCUUGCAGCCCUCACCAUUUCUAUGUGACAGGAGGUGCCAGUAGGCGUUUUGUGAAGUUGGCACCACUUCGGGCACCGAGGCUUAAAUCGAAACCUCUGACGGGGCCGGUGUUCUGAGGAGCUUGCUGCAAGUCUGACUAUUUUCCAGGAUGAAAAGAAACAUUAUUGGACACGACAAGGUACUGUACGUGUGCGUCACCGUGAUUGUCACC